rnacentral:rRNA from 1 species
GCUUAGCAUGAAGUGAAGCACAUACACCUGCUGAGUUUAAGCAUAUAAGUAAGUGGUGGAAAUUAAACCAAAUGGGAUAUCUUUAGUAAUUACGACUGAACAAGGAUAUGCUUAGCUUGACAAAUGGAGCUAUUGGCUUUGAAUUGUAUUGUGGAAAUGUAUUACCAACAGAGGUGCAGGUGCCAGCAUAUUGAAAUAAAGCGUCAAUGAGGUUGAGAAUCCUGUUUGCCAUGUGCAGCCCUUUGUGCACGGUGUAUAUUUGCUGAGUCACACGCAUUGGCAUUGGAAUGCAAAGUGGGUGGUAAGUUUCAUGUAAAGGUAAACAUGCAAUUGAGACUGAUAGCACACAAGUACCAUGAGGGAAAUAUGAAAAGGACUUUGAAAAGAGAAUUAAAUGAGUUUGUAUUUGCUGAACACAAAGUAAACAGACUUGAUUUGCUUGGUGGGAGUGUUGCACUUGCUUGACAAGAGCUUUGGGCUGUGGGUGUAAUGAUUCUUUCUUUGCAUGCCAGUUUCUAUUUGUACAUCUGAUUACCUUUGCACAUGAAUGAUAAGUCUCCUGUGGGGGGUGGAUUGCAUGUGCAUGUAAUGAUUUGUGUUUUGAUACAUGUGUCUGGUGUAUGUGUGUGUGUUCCUGUGCUUGGGGAUGCUUCCUUCCUUGGACUUACAAGCCCUGACACACACAUGCUGGCAAAAUGCUUCUGCUUGACCCGUCUUGAAACACGGACCAAGGAGUCUAACAGAUGUGCAAAGUUUGAAGGUGGUAUACCUUUGUGUGCAAUGAAAGUGUCAGCUGGGAUAUGUGCACCAGC